GGGGGCCUUGAAGAAUCAAAGGGUUUCUCACCUGCUCCAUUUAUUACAAUAAGAGACCAGGUAAUCUAAUCUCUCGUCUGUAGCAAAACUAAAUCAUAAAAAGUCUUCAAAGGCUGUUUAGUUACAACUUAAAAGUCUUUUUUUCAGACAAAAAGUCAAAUCUAUGUUUGGUAGUAAAAAAAUAUAACGUAGGAUUGUGAGUCUCAUACCAAAGAACCCAGAAGCUGUUCCAUUUUGAAUGGCUCUUGUAACCAAAUGUUUUUUUCAGUCCACCAUGACAUCUACAGUCAUAUUCCAGUUUAAACUUCCUUCUUUUUUUAUAUAGUUUUUUUAACCUAAGAUUCCUCUCCUAAAAAAGUGCACACAUGUCAUACAAGUUUAAUAAAUUAUAAAUCAUUUGAUAUAAAUAACAUAUAUUUUAAUAAAUACUUUUAGUGUGCUAUAAUUCUUAUUAAUCGUUCAUUUUAUAUCUCAAAAACAAAAUAAUAUAAUUCAACCAAACACUGUUAUAUUGUUGCUAACCCUUUAUCAAAUAAUACUUUUAUCUUAUGAUUCAACAUAGAAUGCAGUACAACAUAAUAACCACAGCACAACAUAACAGCAACAAGCAGACACGUGUUACCCCAACUUGAGGGGAGCCAAAAAUCCCUAUCUUGCUAUGAGAAUUAGAACAGCCAAACAAUGCCGGAUCCAUCUUUUUUACUCUGGAUCCGUUUUUCAGACCCGGUUACUUUGACCCAAACAAAAUAGAGUUAGGGUUUGUGUAUAAAAACUCUGAGAAGUGGCAAUCCCCUUCGCGUAUUUACAAUUUGCAGUUGUCUAAUCUAGACCUUGAAGAAGCAAAAAGGGUUUUUCACUCGCGCCAUCUGGUACAAUGAGAGCCAAGUGGAAGAAGAAGCGAAUGAGGAGGUUGAAGAGAAAACGCCGAAAAAUGAGGCAAAGAUCCAAGUAGUUGCAGUUUUAGCUCAACCUUACAAACCCUUAAUUAAUCUUCGCUGUUAUUUCAUUUCUGAACCAUGGAGUAUAUGUUUUUAAUCACUUGAUGUGCGGAAAUUCGCGGUUUUUUUUAAUUAUUACGGGAAUGCUACUUUUUUUAUAUAUAAAAAAAUGUGGCGUGAAUGCAAUUGUUAUGCAA